GACUCGGUGGCGGAUGGUCCGUGUCCACAACUUGUGGAUCAAGUUGAUUGCUUUCGCUGUGGAAGUUGCCUGUUCGAAUCAGGCCCGAGUCA